rnacentral:rRNA from 1 species
GAUGAACGCUGGCGGCGUGCCUAAUACAUGCAAGUCGAGCGAACAGACGAGGAGCUUGCUCCUCUGACGUUAGCGGCUGACGGGUGAGUAACACGUGGAUAACCUACCUAUAAGACUUGGAUAACUUCGUGAAACCGGAGCUACUACCGGAUAAUAUAUUGAACCGCAUGGUUCAAUAGUGAAAGACGGUUUUGCUGUCACUUAUAGAUGGAUCCGCGCCGCAUUAGCUAGUUGGUAAGGUAACGGCUUACCAAGGCAACGAUGCGUAGCCGACCUGAGAGGGUGAUCGGCCACACUGGAACUGAGACACGGUCCAGACUCCUACGGGAGGCAGCAGUAGGGAAUCUUCCGCAAUGGGCGAAAGCCUGACGGAGCAACGCCGCGUGAGUGAUGAAGGUCUUCGGAUCGUAAAACUCUGUUAUUAGGGAAGAAAAAAUGUGCAAGGAAAUAUGCACGUCUUGACGGUACCUAAUCAGAAAGCCACGGCUAACUACGUG